rnacentral:rRNA from 1 species
AUUGAACGCUGGCGGCACGCCUUACACAUGCAAGUCGAACGGCAGCACGGGUGCUUGCACCUGGUGGCGAGUGGCGAACGGGUGAGUAAUACAUCGGAACAUGUCCUGUAGUGGGGGAUAGCCCGGCGAAAGCCGGAUUAAUACCGCAUACGAUCUACGGAUGAAAGCGGGGGACCUUCGGGCCUCGCGCUAUAGGGUUGGCCGAUGGCUGAUUAGCUAGUUGGUGGGGUAAAGGCCUACCAAGGCGACGAUCAGUAGCUGGUCUGAGAGGACGACCAGCCACACUGGGACUGAGACACGGCCCAGACUCCUACGGGAGGCAGCAGUGGGGAAUUUUGGACAAUGGGCGAAAGCCUGAUCCAGCAAUGCCGCGUGUGUGAAGGAGGCCUUCGGGUUGUAAAGCACUUUUGUCCGGAAAGAAAUCCUUGGCCCUAAUACGGUCGGGGGAUGACGGUACCGGAAGAAUAAGCACCGGCUAACUACGUG